UGGUUCCUACGGGACGCAGCAGUGGGGAAUAUUGCACAAUGGGGGAAACCCUGAUGCAGCGACGCCGCGUGAGUGAAGAAGUAUUUCGGUAUGUAAAGCUCUAUCAGCAGGGAAGAAAAUGACGGUACCUGAUUAAGAAGCCCCGGCUAACUACGUGCCAGCAGCCGCGGUAAUACGUAGGGGGCAAGCGUUAUCCGGAUUUACUGGGUGUAAAGGGAGCGUAGACGGCGAUACAAGUCUGAAGUGAAAGCCCGGGGCUCAACCCCGGGACUGCUUUGGAAACUGUGUUGCUGGAGUGCUGGAGG
rnacentral:rRNA from 1 species